rnacentral:lncRNA from 1 species
UUGAAAGAAAGCACAGAACCCUUCUUGAAACAUGUAGAGCCUUGCUUUUUCAAUCUGGCCUACCUGUGUCUUUCUGGGGGGAUUGUCUGUUGACUGCUAUUUAUCUCCUUAAAAGAAUACCAUCCAGAAUUCUUCACAAUAAAUCUCCUCAUAAACUUUUGUAUGGGAAAGCUCCAUCUUAUUCUCAUUUGAGGGCAUUUGGGUGCCUUGCUUAUGCUGUUGUCCCUAUUCCUCAAAGGGAAAGUAAAAGCCUAGAGCCCCCUCUUGUGUUUUUCUGGGUUAUCCAUUUGCCAAAAAGGGUUAUAAACUGUAUGAUCUGGUUUCCAAGAAAUGUUUUGUCUCCAGGGAUGUUCUAUUCCAUGAAACUUGUUUUCCUUUUAAGAAUAAACCUUCUUCUGCUCACCCUUCUCCUUCAUCCUUUCCUUCUAUUCCUCCUGCUGAAUAUUCUAUGAAACUUAUUUUCCUUUUAAGAAUAAACCUUCUUUCACCCUUCUCCUUCAUCCUUUCCUUCUAUUCCUCCUGCUGAGCAUUCCACAGACACAAAUUUUCCUAUACAUGCUUCCUCCCCUCCUUCCCCUACAUCUGCUCCAACUUCUGAUUCUCCUGUUCCUGAUUUUACUGAUGCUGCUCCAUCUUCCCUUCCUUCCUUCAAUCCUGAUAUCUCUCCCCCUUUUUUACCUUCUUCACACCCUCUUCCUGCUUCUAGAAAGUCCACUAGACAGCAUAAUUCUACUUCCUAUCUUAAGGAUUAUGUCUGCCAACUCUCUGCCUUUUCUGGUUCAUCUUCUUCUACUUUGGAAUCUGAACCUUUGUAUUACUCUCAAGUUGCAUUUGUUCCAGCAUGGCAGGGUGCCAUGAGACAGGAGUUUGAUACUUUGGAGGCAAACCAUACCUGGGAUGUUGUUCCUCUUCCUCCUGGUAAGAAACCCAUUGGCUGUAAAUGGNNN